rnacentral:rRNA from 1 species
AACGAACGCUGGCGGCAUGCCUAACACAUGCAAGUCGAACGAGACCUUCGGGUCUAGUGGCGCACGGGUGCGUAACGCGUGGGAACCUGCCCUUAGGUUCGGAAUAACUCCCCGAAAGGGGUGCUAAUACCGGAUAAUGUCUUCGGACCAAAGAUUUAUCGCCUUUGGAUGGGUCCGCGUUGGAUUAGCUAGUUGGUAGGGUAAAAGCCUACCAAGGCGACGAUCCAUAGCUGGUCUGAGAGGAUGAUCAGCCACACUGGGACUGAGACACGGCCCAGACUCCUACGGGAAGCAGCAGUGGGGAAUAUUGGACAAUGGGCGGAAGCCUGAUCCAGCAAUGCCGCGUGAGUGAUGAAGGCCUUAGGGUUGUAAAGCUCUUUUACCCGGGAUGAUAAUGACAGUACCGGGAGAAUAAGCUCCGGCUAACUCCGUG